rnacentral:rRNA from 1 species
CCUGCCUGUAAGACUGGGAUAACUCCGGGAACCGGGGCUAAUACCGGAUAAUUCAUUUCCUCUCAUGAGGAAAUGCUGAAAGACGGUUUCGGCUGUCACUUACAGAUGGGCCCGCGGCGCAUUAGCUAGUUGGUGAGGUAACGGCUCACCAAGGCCACGAUGCGUAGCCGACCUGAGAGGGUGAUCGGCCACACUGGGACUGAGACACGGCCCAGACUCCUACGGGAGGCAGCAGUAGGGAAUCUUCCGCAAUGGACGAAAGUCUGACGGAGCAACGCCGCGUGAGCGAAGAAGGCCUUCGGGUCGUAAAGCUCUGUUGUUAGGGAAGAACAAGUAUCGGAGUAACUGCCGGUACCUUGACGGUACCUAA